AAAGUCCCGCAAGGGAUAAGUAGAGUGGCAAACGGGUGAGUAACACGUGGGUGACCUACCUUCGAGCGGGGGAUAACGUCCCGAAAGGGACGCUAAUACCGCAUGACAUCCUGCCUUUGAAGAGGUGGAGAUCAAAGCCGGGGCUCGCAAGACCUGGCACUCGAAGAGGGGCCCGCGCCUGAUUAGCUAGUUGGUGGGGUAACGGCUCACCAAGGCAACGAUCAGUAGCCGGCCUGAGAGGGCGGACGGCCACACUGGGACUGAGACACGGCCCAGACUCCUACGGGAGGCAGCAGUGGGGAAUUGUUCGCAAUGGGCGCAAGCCUGACGACGCAACGCCGCGUGGAGGACGAAGACCUUCGGGUCGUAAACUCCUUUCGAUCGAGACGAAUGGCUUCCGGGUGAACAAUCCGGAGGAAUGACGGUACCGAGAGAAGAAGCCCCGGCUAACUCCGUGCCAGCAGCCGCGGUAAUACGGGGGGGGCAAGCGUUGUUCGGAAUUACUGGGCGUAAAGGGCUCGUAGGUGGCCAACUAAGUCAGACGUGAAAUCCCUCGGCUUAACCGGGGAACUGCGUCUGAUACUGGAUGGCUUGAGAUUGGGAGAGGGAUGCGGAAUUCCAGGUGUAGCGGUGAAAUGCGUAGAUAUCUGGAGGAACACCGGUGGCGAAGGCGGCAUCCUGGACCAACACUGACGCUGAGGAGCGAAAGCCAGGGGAGCAAACGGGAUUAGAUACCCCGGUAGUCCUGGCCCUAAACGAUGAAUGCUUGGUGUGGCGGGUAUCGAUCCCUGCCGUGCCGAAGCUAACGCAUUAAGCAUUCCGCCUGGGGAGUACGGUCGCAAGGCUGAAACUC
rnacentral:rRNA from 1 species